GGGUUGUGAGGUUAAGCGACUAAGCGUACACGGUGGAUGCCCUGGCAGUCAGAGGCGAUGAAGGACGUGCUAAUCUGCGAUAAGCGUCGGUAAGGUGAUAUGAACCGUUAUAACCGGCGAUUUCCGAAUGGGGAAACCCAGUGUGUUUCGACACACUAUCAUUAACUGAAUCCAUAGGUUAAUGAGGCGAACCGGGGGAACUGAAACAUCUAAGUACCCCGAGGAAAAGAAAUCAACCGAGAUUCCCCCAGUAGCGGCGAGCGAACGGGGAGCAGCCCAGAGCCUGAAUCAGUGUGUGUGUUAGUGGAAGCGUCUGGAAAGGCGCGCGAUACAGGGUGACAGCCCCGUACACAAAAAUGCACAUGCUGUGAGCUCGAUGAGUAGGGCGGGACACGUGGUAUCCUGUCUGAAUAUGGGGGGACCAUCCUCCAAGGCUAAAUACUCCUGACUGACCGAUAGUGAACCAGUACCGUGAGGGAAAGGCGAAAAGAACCCCGGCGAGGGGAGUGAAAAAGAACCUGAAACCGUGUACGUACAAGCAGUGGGAGCACACUUAGGCGUGUGACUGCGUACCUUUUGUAUAAUGGGUCAGCGACUUAUAUUCUGUAGCAAGGUUAACCGAAUAGGGGAGCCGAAGGGAAACCGAGUCUUAACUGGGCGUUAAGUUGCAGGGUAUAGACCCGAAACCCGGUGAUCUAGCCAUGGGCAGGUUGAAGGUUGGGUAACACUAACUGGAGGACCGAACCGACUAAUGUUGAAAAAUUAGCGGAUGACUUGUGGCUGGGGGUGAAAGGCCAAUCAAACCGGGAGAUAGCUGGUUCUCCCCGAAAGCUAUUUAGGUAGCGCCUCGUGAAUUCAUCUCCGGGGGUAGAGCACUGUUUCGGCAAGGGGGUCAUCCCGACUUACCAACCCGAUGCAAACUGCGAAUACCGGAGAAUGUUAUCACGGGAGACACACGGCGGGUGCUAACGUCCGUCGUGAAGAGGGAAACAACCCAGACCGCCAGCUAAGGUCCCAAAGUCAUGGUUAAGUGGGAAACGAUGUGGGAAGGCCCAGACAGCCAGGAUGUUGGCUUAGAAGCAGCCAUCAUUUAAAGAAAGCGUAAUAGCUCACUGGUCGAGUCGGCCUGCGCGGAAGAUGUAACGGGGCUAAACCAUGCACCGAAGCUGCGGCAGCGACACUAUGUGUUGUUGGGUAGGGGAGCGUUCUGUAAGCCUGUGAAGGUGUGCUGUGAGGCAUGCUGGAGGUAUCAGAAGUGCGAAUGCUGACAUAAGUAACGAUAAAGCGGGUGAAAAGCCCGCUCGCCGGAAGACCAAGGGUUCCUGUCCAACGUUAAUCGGGGCAGGGUGAGUCGACCCCUAAGGCGAGGCCGAAAGGCGUAGUCGAUGGGAAACAGGUUAAUAUUCCUGUACUUGGUGUUACUGCGAAGGGGGGACGGAGAAGGCUAUGUUGGCCGGGCGACGGUUGUCCCGGUUUAAGCGUGUAGGCUGGUUUUCCAGGCAAAUCCGGAAAAUCAAGGCUGAGGCGUGAUGACGAGGCACUACGGUGCUGAAGCAACAAAUGCCCUGCUUCCAGGAAAAGCCUCUAAGCAUCAGGUAACAUCAAAUCGUACCCCAAACCGACACAGGUGGUCAGGUAGAGAAUACCAAGGCGCUUGAGAGAACUCGGGUGAAGGAACUAGGCAAAAUGGUGCCGUAACUUCGGGAGAAGGCACGCUGAUAUGUAGGUGAAGUCCCUCGCGGAUGGAGCUGAAAUCAGUCGAAGAUACCAGCUGGCUGCAACUGUUUAUUAAAAACACAGCACUGUGCAAACACGAAAGUGGACGUAUACGGUGUGACGCCUGCCCGGUGCCGGAAGGUUAAUUGAUGGGGUUAGCCGCAAGGCGAAGCUCUUGAUCGAAGCCCCGGUAAACGGCGGCCGUAACUAUAACGGUCCUAAGGUAGCGAAAUUCCUUGUCGGGUAAGUUCCGACCUGCACGAAUGGCGUAAUGAUGGCCAGGCUGUCUCCACCCGAGACUCAGUGAAAUUGAACUCGCUGUGAAGAUGCAGUGUACCCGCGGCAAGACGGAAAGACCCCGUGAACCUUUACUAUAGCUUGACACUGAACAUUGAGCCUUGAUGUGUAGGAUAGGUGGGAGGCUUAGAAGUGUGGACGCCAGUCUGCAUGGAGCCGACCUUGAAAUACCACCCUUUAAUGUUUGAUGUUCUAACGUUGACCCGUAAUCCGGGUUGCGGACAGUGUCUGGUGGGUAGUUUGACUGGGGCGGUCUCCUCCUAAAGAGUAACGGAGGAGCACGAAGGUUGGCUAAUCCUGGUCGGACAUCAGGAGGUUAGUGCAAUGGCAUAAGCCAGCUUGACUGCGAGCGUGACGGCGCGAGCAGGUGCGAAAGCAGGUCAUAGUGAUCCGGUGGUUCUGAAUGGAAGGGCCAUCGCUCAACGGAUAAAAGGUACUCCGGGGAUAACAGGCUGAUACCGCCCAAGAGUUCAUAUCGACGGCGGUGUUUGGCACCUCGAUGUCGGCUCAUCACAUCCUGGGGCUGAAGUAGGUCCCAAGGGUAUGGCUGUUCGCCAUUUAAAGUGGUACGCGAGCUGGGUUUAGAACGUCGUGAGACAGUUCGGUCCCUAUCUGCCGUGGGCGCUGGAGAACUGAGGGGGGCUGCUCCUAGUACGAGAGGACCGGAGUGGACGCAUCACUGGUGUUCGGGUUGUCAUGCCAAUGGCACUGCCCGGUAGCUAAAUGCGGAAGAGAUAAGUGCUGAAAGCAUCUAAGCACGAAACUUGCCCCGAGAUGAGUUCUCCCUGACUCCUUGAGAGUCCUGAAGGAACGUUGAAGACGACGACGUUGAUAGGCCGGGUGUGUAAGCGCAGCGAUGCGUUGAGCUAACCGGUACUAAUGAACCGUGAGGCUUAACCUUACAACGCCGAAGGUGUUU
rnacentral:rRNA from 1 species